GCUCUUCCAAUCAUACCUGACCCAGCAGCUGUUAUCACACAUAAUUGACCCACACCUCCACACUCCCACAGCGAAUAGACGAAGCAGAAGACUAGACGAAGCUAGAAGACCAGACGAGCAGCAGAGGAAUUCCGAAGCGGAAGAAGACGAGACGAGAAUCAAGGAACUCCGAAGCGACUGGGUCUACGAUUUUUCUUCUCUCUCUCGAUCUGGGUCUGCGAUUGACGAAGCUAGAAGACCAGAUGAGCAGCAGAUCGAGGAACUCCGAAGAGGAAGAAGACCAGACGAGAAUUAAGGAACUCCGAAGCGAUUGGGUCUGCGAUUUUCUUCUCUCUCUCGAUCUGAGAUUAGGUCUCUCUCUCUCUCGAUCUGAAUUGAGGAUACAGACGUAUCCAAACCGUAUCCAAAUCAGGAUACGCGUUUCCGGACGUUUCCGUGCGUUUCCGACGCGUUUCGUACCCGUAUCCCGUUUCGAUACGGGAUACGGAUGCAAUUUGAAGUUUCCAUGCAUCAUAGCCAUUAACAGACUCAACCUUUAAAACCAACCCACCAUUACCAAAGACUCAACCUUUACAUCACACCCAACACCCAAAGACUCAACAAUUAAAAUCAACCUCACGAUGCGCCCAAUCGCCCAAUCCCCGUCACCCUCAUCCCCUCAACCAUUGCAACCCCACCGCAUCCACCUCCUAGUCCCACUUGCCGGCGCCGGCGCCGCCACCACCACUGCCUUCUCCCUCCUCGUCUGCUUCCUCAAAAUCACCCACAAACGCACCGCCCCCAAAGGCGACUCCAAGCCCCCUCACUCUCUCUAAAACACCCAACCGCAAACCUCUCCUUUUCUCUCUCUAAAACCCCAUUCCAGUCCAGUCCCUCCUCUUCUUCUCUCUUUCAAUCUGAGCCAACACCGCAAUUGUGAAAAAUUGUAGAUAGAUUGAUUGGUUUUUAGUUCAAGCCCACAAGAAGAAGAUCUUUGUGCCGGAGGUGGUGGUUGUAGGGGUUCGCAAUUUUGUGGGGUGUUUGUUGCCGGCCUGAUGGUCCGUUUCCAUGGCUUUGUGGUCGGCGGCCUCAACUGGUCUGCUCUCGGCGUCAGAAGGACCCGGAUCCGGGUGGAAUUUGCAAAGGGAUCCGGAUCUGGGAUCCAGGAGGGAGUUGGGCUUGGGCUGCGUCCCACUAUUUUUGUUGGACUAUUGCUCAUUUGCCAACAUGGUUUGGGGCUCCUAUGCGUUACUGGUUUUGGAUUCGGGACCCAAGUCUUUGGUAUCUGUUCGUGAAAGAUCGUCUGCCAACAUGGCCAUGUUCUGACACCCUUGGCCUGCUUCGAUCUUUAGGUGGGAGAGUGCCUUCAUUCCGACGCCAAGUUGAUUUUUGUCAGUUUGUGCGUUGGAGUUCCAUGGGUAGUCAAACCACCGACUACUCAAUUCACUACACGGCUGCAAUCGGUAGUGUAAAAUCAGCGUUGCGUCUCGACGUUGCUGCUCUUGCGUUAUUAAGUUUUUAUAUUUCAUAUGUAUUUUUCUUUUCGUACUGUUUUAUUCCCUUCUUGAUGUCUUUUGGCAUCGUAUCGUUGUAAUCUUUC